rnacentral:sRNA from 1 species
CUGUGGCAGCCGAAAAUGUCUCCAGACAUUGCCAAAUCCCUCCUGUGAGGCAAAAUCAUCCCAGUGGAAAACCAGUAGCCUGUAGACAUGGGUGCCCUUGUGAAAGGAUGCCGUUGUUUGGAGAUUGACUGCUGGGAUGGAGCACAAAAUGAACCUGUUGUAUAUCAUGGCUACACACUCACAAGCAAACUUCUGUUUAAAACUGUUAUCCAAGCUAUACAGAAGUAUGCGUUCAUGACAUCUGACUACCCAGUGGUGCUCUCUUUAGAAAAUCACUGCUCCACUGCCCAACAAGAAGUCAUGGCAGACAAUUUGCAGGCUACUUUUGGAGAGUCCUUGCUUUCUGAUAUGCUUGAUGAUUUUCCUGAUACUCUGCCAUCACCAGAGGCACUAAAAUUCAAAAUAUUAGUUAAAAAUAAGAAAAUAGGAACCUUAAAGGAAACCCGUGAAAGAAAAGGUUCUGAUAAGCGUGGAGACAAUCAAGACAAGGAAACAGGGGUAAAAAAGUUACCUGGAGUAAUGCUUUUCAAGAAAAAGAAGACCAGGAAGCUAAAAAUUGCUCUGGCCUUAUCUGAUCUUGUCAUUUAUACUAAAGCUGAGAAGUUCAAAAGCUUUCAACAUUCAAGAUUAUAUCAGCAAUUUAAUGAAAAUAAUUCUAUUGGGGAGACACAAGCCCGAAAACUUUCAAAAUUGCGAGUCCAUGAGUUUAUUUUUCACACCAGGAAGUUCAUUACCAGAAUAUAUCCCAAAGCAACAAGAGCAGACUCUUCUAAUUUUAAUCCCCAAGAAUUUUGGAAUAUAGGUUGUCAAAUGG